GAAAUUUAUUACAGAAAUCGCUAACAUUUUACAAUAAUUUAGUUUAAGUACAGCUUAUAUGGAAAUUAUAUUAAAAAAGAUAGGUCACCGAUGAGUUGAAAAAGAUAUUUCAAUUUUAGAGCCAAAAAAUGGUAUUUUUCCACCAAAGGGAGAUAAUUUGGAACUUUUUCAAUGAUGUAUACAUUUUGAAAGUCAUCUGGGGUCAAC
rnacentral:lncRNA from 1 species